CAGGAGUGUUGGCAUGGCAGCUGCAGGGGACCGGAGGAGAAGCUAGGGCAAGGGCCGGAAUUGCCUCCUUUGAAAACUAUCUAUUCAGCUGAACUGCUCCCUCCUCCUUCACCUGAAAUACUCCUUCCCCUUCCCAUCAGGAAUCGAAGCUGGCGCUGGAAUGUAGCAGGGAGAUGGAAUGCUACUUUCUAGAAAAGUAUGCAGAAGGAGAUUUAACCAAUAAAGUGCUUUUAACACCCAAUUAACACAACCCCUUUUGCAGACGUCACUAUCAUCUAUAUAAACCUUGUACAGUCUCUUGGUAAACCUGGUUUAAUAAAAGAAAGUAUC